rnacentral:tRNA from 1 species
UGUGGCUCAGUUGGUAGAGCAUGGUGUUUGCAACGCCAGCAUGGUGUGUGCAACGCCAGGGUUGUGGGUUCGAUUCCCACAAAAACAA